CGCCGUUAGAGGAGGUGUUCCUAUGGGCGGGGGGGAGCGCUCUGCCCUGCCUGCUCGCCCUGCCGCGCUAACUGCCGCGCCACUCCCCUCUGCCGCACCACGCUCUGCUUGCCCGUCCUAAUCGCCGCGCUCCCUAGGGGCAGCUUUUGAACGGCCGGGGAGGGGGCGCUGCUGGCUCCGCCUACGCCUCGUUCUCGCCUCGUUCACCUCCCUCACGAGGGCUGCCUCGAGUGGGCUCGGUGCCCUGGCUGUCCGAUCCCCCACCCCUCUGCAGAACGCGUUUGUCCCGGAGCCGAUCGCCUCGGCAAGUAGUUACAAAAGAUAUUUAUUUAUUCACAGUUUUCAGGAAGUGAGGUUUUGA
rnacentral:lncRNA from 1 species